rnacentral:rRNA from 1 species
GAUGAACGCUGGCGGCGUGCCUAAUACAUGCAAGUCGAGCGAACGGACGAGAAGCUUGCUUCUCUGAUGUUAGCGGCGGACGGGUGAGUAACACGUGGAUAACCUACCUAUAAGACUGGGAUAACUUCGGGAAACCGUAGCUAAUACCGGAUAAUAUUUUGAACCGCAUGGUUCAAAAGUGAAAGACGGUCUUGCUGUCACUUAUAGAUGGAUCCGCGCUGCAUUAGCUAGUUGGUAAGGUCACGGCUUACCAAGGCAACCAUGCAUAGCCGACCUGAGAGGGUGAUCGGCCACACUGGAACUGAGACACGGUCCAGACUCCUACGGGAGGCAGCAGUAGGGAAUCGUCCGCAAUGGGCGAAAGCCUGACGGAGCAACGCCGCGUGAGUGAUGAAGGUCUUCGGAUCGUAAAACUCUGUUAUUAGGGAAGAACAUAUGUGUAAGUAACUGUGCACAUCUUGACGGUACCUAAUCAGAAAGCCACGGCUAACUACGUG